rnacentral:rRNA from 1 species
AAUCAACGCUGGCGGCGUGCCUAACACAUGCAAGUCGAACGCGAGAGGGGCUUCGGCCCCGAUUGAGUGGCGAACGGGUGAGUAACGCGUGGGUGACCUACCUUCGAGUGGGGGAUAACGUCCCGAAAGGGACGCUAAUACCGCAUAACAUCCUGCUUUUGAAUGGGUGGAGAUCAAAGCCGGGGAUCGCAAGACCUGGCGCUUGAUGAGGGGCCCGCGCCUGAUUAGCUAGUUGGGAGGUAACGGCCCACCAAGGCAACGAUCAGUAUCCGGCCUGAGAGGGGCGGACGGACACACUGGGACUGAGACACGGCCCAGACUCCUAUGGGAGGCAGCAGUGGGGAAUUGUUCGCAAUGGGCGCAAGCCUGACGACGCAACGCCGCGUGGAGGAUGAAGGUCUUCGGAUUGUAAACCUCUUUCAGCUCCGACGAAGCGAGAGUGACGGUAGGAGCAGAAGAAGCACCGGCCAACUACGUGCCAGCCGCCGCCGUAAG